rnacentral:misc_RNA from 1 species
AAGUACUUGUCGUCGAACUUUUCGAUGUUCACACCAGAGAUGUCAACUUUGGUGGAGGUUGCAAUCACAUACGAUUGGUUCACUCGUCUUAGAGGAACACCAUUAAUCUUGAAUGGCCCGGUGACCAGAAGCAACCCAGAUGGCAGCUGUUUCAAAAACACAACUCUCUUCCCUUUGAACCUCCCAGCGAGGAUUAUCAACACAGUACCAGGAGUAAUGCUAGCUCUGAGCUUAGUGAGCUUGGCCUUGCGCUUGUUAACAAGGGGCUUCUUCACAUCAUCGGCAGGGUAAAACUUCGGCGACUUAUCGGCUGGGGCAUCCGCUUUCGGCUUGGCAUCGUGACGAGGGAACACUCCGCCAUUUUUGGCCUUGAUGGCCCAAAGACCCCGCUUAUGAUACAUCUUAGACCUCGAGUACUUGCCGACACCUCGGAUUAGAUCCGGGUUUCUUGUAACUCUGGGGAUUUUGGGCGCCAUUAG